AAGCGUUGGCAACCAGACUUGCAGCUGCUACUCAUCAGGGGUUCUCCCCUGUGCACUUGGUAGCUUCAGGCCAGCAUCGGUUUGGAGAGCGGGAUAAAGGCCUUGGGAAUGUAGCUCUCUUCGGGGAGUGUUAUAGCCCUCGGUGCAAUGCCGCUCCUCCAGACCGAGGACCGCGCUUCGGCUAGGAUGCUGGCGUAAUGGUUGUCAACGG
rnacentral:rRNA from 1 species